UGUUAAAUGCAACUUAAAGACUUGGGUCUUA
rnacentral:piRNA from 1 species